CACUCACUCACCAAAACACACUCAAGACAUUCUCUCUUCUCACAAACGGUAGAUCAAAGAAGGAAACCCUAAACCCAAAUGAAUGAAACGAAACAUCACCAUAUCUCUCUCUAUUUUUGCAUCUGGUCGCAGAAACACACUUGCAGAAUUGUGGUUCUCUCAACUUCUCGUUUUUGCCGCUUCACCACCGCACAAGAUAGCGGUUGUUCUCCACUUCUCUGAGAUUGUUCAGAUUCACACUUUACCUCUCCUAAGCGUAGCGAUGAAGUGAAUUUCUGAUACCACAAAAGGAAAGAUUUAUUAUGUUAAUGAAAGGAAAUGCCAAAAACUGCGAUGAACCGACCACCAAGUAAUUUUUCUGAGUGUGCCAUUUGCUUCAUUUUUUCAUGAGGAAAGAGUCAUUUUUAGAAUAUUCCAUUUGCUUCACUGGAACAAAUCUAAUUGUGGUAAGUUAUGUCUUCUGAAUCUAUAUUUGGUUAAGAUUGUCAAUGGAGUCAAUAAUUGAUCAUGACUGCUUUGUAACAUAGUACUCUAAAUUUUAUGAUUAUGCCUUUAUAUGUUCUUUCAAGCUUUCUGAGAUGUCUAGCUAAUAAUAAUCUUUUGCCUCUAAAUUAAUUUUGUAUGUUCUAUAGCUCAUGCUUUUUGAAAAUUAUUUCCUUCUUUUCAAAGUUAUGUAAUCAAUGAAAAAGUAAUGAUAAUGUGUAGUUGGUUUAAAUAAUAUAACAUAGCUAUCAAUGUGUGUUUACAAUAUAAUUUUUUCAUGUCAGUAAAAAAAAUAGUCGUUGGAAAGCAUAUAUAGGGACUAAUUUUAUUUAAUGUCGGUUCAUUUUCAUUCUUGCUGAUUUAUAAGUUUGACCUUUCUUGAUGCAUUUUAUCUGGUAUUCUAGGAUUACAAUGGCAUUACUAACUAAGCAGGUUGGAAUGAAGUCAUCAAUGCAUGCAGACAAGAAGUAUGCUCUGUUCCUUGAUCAAUUGGAGAACUCACUCGUGAGAUAGAAAGGGAUCCUGAGAUUAUGCAAAUAUCAAUCUGAAUGAAACUAUUGGUUUAUUAAGGUUUUACAUAGGAGCAAUAUGGUGAAAAGGGAUUAGGAUCAAAGAAGGCAUGUCACAGGUUCUUCUUCAUAUGAUUAUGCAGCCAAGAUAGUAGGGGUAUUGAAUGGAAAUUUUUACUAUUUUACACUAAGAUUGUCCAAUUUUAGUUGUAUACUUGUAUUUAUGGUUGAGUAAAUAUUGUCUUAACUUAUAUCUGAGAAGUCAUGGGAGCAGUAACCAUGACUUUAGGUUUUUUUUAUAGUAGUAGUACAUGUUGCUACUUUUUAGUACCUAUAGAAAGGAUGUACUCAUCUAUUCAUUUAUGUAAAACUGCAAUCAUUUGAAUAAAGGAGUUCAUGUAUUUGCCUCA